UACGUAGGGUGCGAGCGUUGUCCGGAAUUAUUGGGCGUAAAGGGCUCGUAGGCGGUUUGUCGCGUCGGAAGUGAAAACACGGGGCUUAACUCUGUGCUUGCUUUCGAUACGGGCAGACUAGAGGGAUGCAGGGGAGAACGGAAUUCCUGGUGUAGCGGUGAGAUGCGCAGAUAUCAGGAGGAACACCGGUGGCGAAGGCGGUUCUCUGGGCAUUCCCUGACGCUGAGGAGCGAAAGUGUGGGGAGCGAACAGG
rnacentral:rRNA from 1 species